rnacentral:rRNA from 1 species
UUUUGGACGAUGGGGGCAACCCUGAUCCAGCAAUGCCGCGUGUGUGAAGAAGGCCUGCGGGUUGUAAAGCACUUUCAGAGGGGAAGAAAAAAUCGGAUCUAACACAUCCGAGCUUGACGUUACCCUUAGAAGAGGCACCGGCUAACUACGUGCCAGCAGCCGCGGUAAUACGUAGGUGGCAAGCGUUGUCCGGAUUUACUGGGCGUAAAGAGCGCGCAGGCGGUCGAUUAAGUCGAGUGUGAAAGCCCCCGGCUCAACUGGGGAGGGUCAUUUGAUACUGGUCGACUCGAAGGCAGGAGAGGGAAGUGGAAUUCCCGGUGUAGUGGUGAAAUGCGUAGAUAUCGGGAGGAACACCAGUGGCGAAGGCGACUUCCUGGCCUGUUCUUGACGCUGAGGCGCGAAAGCUAGGGGAGCAAAC